rnacentral:sRNA from 1 species
AAAAACAGACAUAUAAUACUCAAUCAAUGAAAACAAAUAAAUGUACAAGGUCUUUUAUUGCUUAAAACUCUACAUAUACAUUUUUGGUACACUUUUGGCCAAAAAAUCCUUAUACUAUUUACUAACAACAUACAAGUCUUUACAAAUUUUAUCUCAAAUAUUAUAAUCCUAAAAACUUACAAAUCGUUAAUUUGCGUUUGAAAUACCCAACCUCAGCAGCAGAGCUCGCGAGAUGACAGAGAAGGCGACUGCUCGUCGGGUAAAAUCUUGAACACAUUUCUUCAGGAAGAUUAAAGCCAGAAUACCUGAUUGUUAGAACACGUUGAUCUCCAUGGUUUCUUGUGAACACAGAAAUUGUAUUCGAAAAUUCACAGUAGACGCUUGCGAACAAAGUGAUGUCGUCUCUUCGAGCAAGCAAUGCCCGGUUCCGAGAAAUUUAUAAUACCAAGCCGGAUCGACUCUUCCGUUGUAGUGAGUGAAUCAAUAAAGCAAUAGAAAGUGCAAACCAAGUCGUGUCCCACAACGCGAAUUGCCAUUUUCUUGCUUCUUACCGGAGCUUUUCUUUUCCUCUGUUUCUUGUCUUGUUUUGCUAGAUUUGUUAAGAACACAAACAAGUUAAAGAACUACUCUCUUUAUUAGCUUUAGAAAACCAACUCAAAAACUAAAGCUCUCUUUGGUUCUCUCAAAUCUCUCUCACAAAACUCACAAGUGUUAUCACACCUCGAUAACUCCUUAUAUAAGAGAUGAUCUAGUCCUAAUCCUAUUAGGAAUAU